AGUGAACGCUGGCGGUAGGCCUAACACAUGCAAGUCGAACGGCAGCACAGUAAGAGCUUGCUCUUACGGGUGGCGAGUGGCGGACGGGUGAGGAAUACAUCGGAAUCUACUUUUUCGUGGGGGAUAACGUAGGGAAACUUACGCUAAUACCGCAUACGACCUACGGGUGAAAGCAGGGGAUCUUCGGACCUUGCGCGAUUGAAUGAGCCGAUGUCGGAUUAGCUAGUUGGCGGGGUAAAGGCCCACCAAGGCGACGCUCCGUAGCUGGUCUGAGAGGAUGAUCAGCCACACUGGAACUGAGACACGGUCCAGACUCCUACGGGAGGCAGCAGUGGGGAAUAUUGGCCAAUGGGCGCAAGCCUGAUCCAGCCAUACCGCGUGGGUGAAGAAGGCCUUCGGGUUGUAAAGCCCUUUUGUUGGGAAAGAAAAGCAGCAGGUUAAUACCCCGCUGUUCUGACGGUACCCAAAGAAUAAGCACCGGCUAACUUCGUG
rnacentral:rRNA from 1 species